GCACCGAUGAAGAGUCCUAAAAUAGGACGAAACGGCUGUCUGGCGC
rnacentral:hammerhead_ribozyme from 1 species